GUCCUGGGCAGGUUACCCAACUUCUCUGUGCCUUGACGAUCCCAGCCAUUAAAUAGGUAACAAUGUACCUACCCAAGAGUUACUGUGAGGAUUAAAUGGAGGCGCUGUGAACAAUGCUGGCACACAGUCAGGCCUCAAUAAGUUUUAGUAAUUGUUAUUCUCUCCACUCUCUUUUUUCUGUCAUGAGAAUUCUGGGACAAAGGAACACUUAGAGGGUUCUGGGGUUCCUUCUGUGCUGUCACCUGAACUGUCACUUUACUUUCUAGCACAGCUUCUGUUCUUUCAGUCAAUGUUGUAGACCAAAGAGAAGGAAGAAUGUCUCCCAUUUAGGUAAAGACACUUCCAAGAAAUCGACUAGGGACGUAACUGAAUUGGCCUUUGAAGAUGAUGGCCUUUGACUUUAAGGGAGAGAGGAGGCCUGGAGAGACUAUUACAGUCUUAGGGAUGUAGGAAGACCAAUGGCAGGGGCUGGUCUUGUGGCCGAGUGGUUAAGUUCGCACGCUCCGCUUCAGCGAACCCAGGGUUUCACUGGUUCUGAUCCUGGGCGUGGACUUGGCACCUCUCAUCAGGCCAUGCUGAGGCAGCACCCCACAUAGCACAACCAGAAGGACCCACAACUAGAAUAUGCAACUGAGUACUGGGGGGCUUUGAGGAGAAGAAGAAGAAAAGAGAAGAUGGGCAACAGAAGUUAGCUCAGGUGCCAAUCUUUAAAAAAAAAAGAAAAAGAAAAUCAACGGCAGCUAUGGAAAACACCAGCCUACCGGAAUGUGUCUUGAAGGAAAUUAGGCCCCGCUGCAGACUCUGAGAGAAAAGUUAAAUUUUUUGUCAUCGCUCAAGAACCUUGGCUGACAGGGCAGCUGCCAUCUUGAACAUAACUGACCCCUGUGCCAGUGCUCCAACGACUCUCAAAACAGCAAUUAAAUGCUCUGAUUUAUUUCAUUUUCUUCAACUUGUUUGUCAGAAGUAUUCACGUGACCUGAGCCAACAAAAAAGGGCUGAGAAAACGCCAUCUGACCAUCGGGCGGAUUGUGGAGAGAUGGAAAUGUCUGGUGAAUGAUUCCUCCAGGAAAAGCUGGAUUUCUUGACCUCUGAAAAAUGAGAGAUGAUCUUAAGUCAUCAAAAAAAGUCACCUCUAAAACCUCUAAAAUAGUGUGAUACCGGGAUUUGCUUCACAACAAUCUGGGAGGGGCAGACAGCGGGAAGGGUGGAGACGAGUUGUUUCCGUGGAAGGUGAGUGACACUAUUCUCUCUGCUUUUGUGUGUAUCUGAAAAAUUCUCAAUAUCUAAGGUUUUAAAAAGAAGGUGGAGAUAGGGCCUGGGUGGCAUAGUUCCAGUGUCCUUCUCCGGUGUUUCUUUCUCCUUCUGGGCAUCUUACUUCAAAGACAAGUGAGCGUGGGAGAAGCAUCUCUAGGAUCUGACAAUUCGAUAGCGUUGUUUACUUCCCCAGCCCUAGGCCUCCUCUUGAGGAGUUUCUGGGCAGAAAGAAGGCUUCUGGAACCUUCCCAAGAUUUAUGGUGGAGCAGCCCUCCCUAGAUCCUUAUACCUUCUUUUCUGGUUUGGAGGGAAAUGACCUUUAGGUUCAGCAGUCCCCGGGGGUGUGGCAGGGAGGUGCGGCUCCAUUGAGAACGAGAUAAUGGCAGCAUUCCUGCCUGAGGAAGGGGCUGCAAGGGCCUGUUUUCCUGUGGCUGUUGCUGACUGGGCUGGGUUUUCAUUAAUUAUUUUGAUAAUCAUGUUGGCAACUUUUCCUUUUCUUUAGUCUUUGAAAAAAGCAAACAUGUCUAACUGUUUAUAUAGCUACUAGAAGAAAGACAAGAUUCUUAGCAACUGAACUAGUGUGCCUUGACCAAACUGCAUUGUGUCCUGUCGGCGUGGGCGGCCACCGGCCUGACCAUCUAAUUUAUGAGUCUUUUUCGAUCACACACACUUUACUGGUAACGUGUUUCAACAAAGGAGAGAAGAAAUUCAAAGCUUGUCUCUCCUCUGGCCUUGUGAAGUUUUCUCACACCCCCAGUCUCUUCACUAUACUUGUGUGAUUGAACCAGUGUGAGCUUUAAUCUUUUUCUUCCAUUAACAAAUGCUCAGAUUUACAAGUAACACAAUGAAAUCCAAUAUAUGUCCAAGAAGUCUGCUCUAGGCAGUGUAAAAGGAGCCUAAAACAAUAGUAACCCUCCAAUCAUGCCAAAACUGAUUUUGUUCAACUUGAAAUGAUUAAAUAUGGGUUAACAGAAUCAAAGAGUUUUUUAGAGUUAGAAAGAUUAAAAAAGAAAAAAAGUCCCUGGUGAUUAUUCUAGCUGAAGCUUCUUGCUUGUACAGUAGAGGUUACUGAGCCCCCAAAAGCAAAGUGACUUGGUCACCCUCACAGGUCCCUUCACAGAAAACUCAAGUGGCUUUUGCUUUCUCUGAAGAGCAGUUUCACAAGGCUUGACAACAAGUCAAGUGUUAGUGACCUUCAGGAGCCACAGCAGAGUAGAAACACGAAGUUGAUCCCCUCCCUCAGUUCUAGCUCACGGGAAACACAUACCAAGGGGUCUUAAGCUUAGAGUUCUCCGGGAGACGAUGUCACGUUUCUAUUACAGAAAAAAUAGAGAAAAGUCAGCCACAGAAGGAUCCAGUUCAAGAAUUCAGUUAAUGGGCAUUUGGGAAAUCAAAACAUCCUUCUCAUAUUCAAAGGAAAGAAUUACUGUUAAAGUCCAUUUUGUAAAAGUCUGCUUUUAAUAAUACUUUCUUUAGAGAAUAGACACUCAAAAUAAUUAAGAAAAUAGAUUCAGCCUCAAGUCAAAUAUUCUCUAUGUACCAUACUGAUAAGGGAGAAAUGAGAGGAAAAAGCUUUUUUUGAAAAGAACCAGUAAGUGGAAAAUAUAUUACCAAGUGAAAUGCAUUCAACAUUUUAGUUCUGUUGAAAGAAUAAAAUAUUUAUAAGAAUCAACUUUCUUCUUCGUAUGAACUGUAUGUUAUUUAUAGCUAUUUAAAGCUACUGAAGGAAAAUAGAAAAGGGCAAUUUAAAACUGUUUACAUUUGUGUAUCUUUUCUUAUUUUGACUCGUUUCAACCACUGCCGCCACACAUAGAAUCUUUUUCUUCCUAAAGGAGACAGAGACUGCUUUGAACAAGAGUGGCUUUGAACACUUAUCUUGUGGUUUUGGGAGAGUGGGGAAAAAGGAGGAAAAAAAAGGAAGGUAGAAGAAAGAAUUCCUUCCUAACAACCUUUUAAAAGUAAGAUUCUUAGAAAUAUUUAACUCUUGUAAGCUUUGCCUCACGUAUUUGCCAAGUGCUAAGAAAAAGAAUAAGGAGACCGUAAUAGUGGCUAUAAAGAUGGAAUGGAGUAAAACAACAAAGAUAAAUCCGAGAAGGGAACAGGCCUGCACAGAGACACAGAGCAGGAAGCAGGUCAUAAAUGUCGGGGCGCUGGAGCUGUGAAGCACUUGACCUUAGCUCAUCUGUGGACCAUGUAAAAUAAAUAACAUCCUACACUUCUUAUUUUAAUUCCAGUUGACUUGAGUGCGUGAACUUUGAGAACUGGGUCAUCUGUUCCUCUUAUUGCUGAUUGAACUGAGUAAUUUCACCAUGUAGAAGCCUCAUUAUCUGUCAAAGGGAUCUUCUGAGAAAACUGGACAGUUAGCGGACCUUUUAAGCAAACGACAUCCUGUGGACAUUAUUUUAAGCGCCCUGGAGCAUCCUGGAAACCACUGGUUUUCAAAACUUUUCUUGCACACGAUCCACUGUAGAAAGACGUUUUACAUCACAACACGCAUAAAUCUAUGUUACUGAAAUGAAAGUUUUGUGAGAAAAUACUUUUCCUUACUAGACAUGAUGCAUUCUGAUAUUUUCCAUUUCAUUGUAAUCAUUUUUUUAAAAAAUUCUGGUUUGUAACCCAUUAAAUUGAUUUUACCACCAACAAUUGAGACUCAAGAGUAUGAAACAGAGACGUGAACAAAUCAGGGUGCCGGUUGGACUCGAGAAUAAUAUGAGAUUCAAGUGAAUUUCAUUUGAGGGAAAAAAGUUUGGUAGAAUUUAGAAGUCAACAAAUUUGUGGGUUAUUUUCCAUAACGUAAAACUUCAAAUUUUUUGGAAUUAAGCAUUUUUUGCAAUCAGUAUGUGGCUAAUAUCGGUAAAAGACAAUUUAGCAGUAUAGCUCUUUUAAAUAUUAUACAUUUGCAAUGAAAAGAAUGAUUCCUUAGUUCCAGAAGGUCCAAAUAUGAAGUCGCGGCCCAAAAUAAGAAAGAAGAUAGUCUAAGUGGACAAUUGCAAGAGGGAAUUGACAACAGUCUGGAGGUAGGAAAGAGUUCUGAAAAACUGCAAAAGACUCACCAUGACAUUGUACCCUUACUGUCCAAUUCGUUUUCCACAGGACAACAAGCCCUUCCAAGAAUUUCAGUUAAGGGAUCUUAAACUUUCUCUAUCCACUGCACCGCUCAACAAAUGCAAGGUCCUCUGUGCUAUUUCUUCAUUUGUUAACAAUGUAUUUACUGAACGUUUACCAUGUGUCCCGAAAUCCAGAAAUAAGCCCAAUAAAGGCCUGUCCUCAGCACCAGCACAGUGCGGUAGAUCCGCGUGUCCCCGGCUCUGAGUAGAUGGUCUUCCCCAGCCAGCGGCGAGUUCCCUCUCCUGUCUGUCUCUCCCCACCAGGAACUCAGGUCCUCUGACGGCAGGCUUCUUCUGGAUUGCACAGCUCUGGUUGUCAGAAAGUUCUUUAUAUCAAAUAGUUUUCUCAGUGGCAUCCAUCACCAAUCCUACUUCUGUCCUCAGUAGUCACAGGGUUUAAUAAGAAACAAAUUUGGAGUAAACUCCUCGUUACUGGAUUGACAUGAAGAAAGGAUCCACAUUCCUAAAACGCUACAAAGAUGUGAGAGGGGCCCAUGCGUUGACAUCUCAGUCCGAGGGAGGAUACCUCCUGGACUGAAGCUGAAAAGAGAAUCAGAACCUGAGGCUAUUUUAGUUGACAGAGAUCCUGAAAAGACUGUCCCGCCAACGUCUACAAUUCUUCAAAUAGGAAAACAAGUUUGCAACCUAAUCCACUGGAAUAUUUUCUGGGAAACCUGAUUCUGAUUUCAUUAAGGACACCAGUGGGAAAAUAAGAUUCACUUUACAGAAGUUUAAUUAAGUCAACUUUGCUUUGACAGAUUUUUCCCCGAGCCUGACGUUUGAAAUGGUUCAGCCCGUAAAAUAACCUUAAACAUAAAGUUCCUUGCUUUAUGGUGAAGAAUACAUAUAGGUAAAUAUCUCUAACUGAGCUAAAGUUAGGAAGAACUAGUACAAACAACUAAUAAAUUGUAGCGCAGGCUUUAUUAUUGUUACACUGUAUCACAAGUUUACAGAGUGUGUUCAUAAACCUGCUCAUUUGAAGCCUUGCAAUACUCUUUGAAGAAGACAUUUUUCAUUCCUUAUUCUACAAAAGGAAACUAAGGAAGAGUACUCUCACUCUCUUUAGAAAUCAGAACUGCAGUAAGCGUCAUGAAUUUUUCAUCUAACUCUGAUCUUACAGAACCUGGAGCAGGAAGGGGUUAAGCCACGUGGUAGUCAGGGCUGGAAUUCGGGGAUCAGAUUCUCAGGAGAUCUCUUUGCCCAAGGUUCUGCACAUGUUUGUCAGAAUCCUAUGAGGGUAUUUUUAAGUCUGGAAGUUCUUCUAAAUGUUUAUAAAUGGAAUCAUGCUAUACAUAGUGUUACACAACUUGUUUUCUCUCUUGCCUAUAAUGUAAACAUCUUUCCAUGUUGAUCCUAUGUUGCAAUCUCAUUGUUUUUUUUUUUUUUUUUGAAGAUUAGGCCUGAGCUAACUGCUGCCAAUCUUCCUCUUUUUGCUGAGGGAGACUGGCCCUAAGCUAACAUCCAUGCCCAUCUUCCUCUACUUUAUACAUGGGAUGCCUACCACAGCAUGACUUGACAAGCGGUGCCACGUCCGUACCCGGGAUCUGAACCAGUGAACCCCCGGCUGCUGAAGCAGAACGUGCGCACUUAAGCGCUGCGCCACCAGGCCGGUCCCCCUAAUCACUGUUAUUUUUGAAGGGUGACAUAAUUGGUAUUCAGUAGGCACACUCCAAUGCAGCCAUACCUAUUACUUGUGGCCAGCGUCAGUCCUGACUUGUCUGUGCCCACGCCAGACUGACUAUUGAAGAUUUGAAGAAGCAUUCCCUAGCCCUUUCUCUGUAUUGCAAAAAUAAGGCAGCUGAAUCUUUCAGUUCUUGAAUGUAGCCAAUCAUACUUCUCAACAAAUCAAGAACUCAACAAAGGCUAGAACUAUGUGACAAGCAUGCAAAUCUUCACAAAGCAAGGUAGACAACCUGGCGUUUUGAGAGCGAGACUGAGGCCUUGCUAGCCCGUAGGCCAAAUUCGAAAGUCGGCAUUUGGCAACAACAGAGAACAGAAGAGAUAGCGUCUGAUAAAAUGGGCCUGUGCCUCCGAGUCUGAUAGCGGUGCCUUCUGAUUUUGCCGUAUCUCUAGUCAAUGAAGCCACAAGUGUUCCUCAAGGUUGAUUCUGGUUUCACUGACGACGAUGGCUGGCUCUGUGGCAUCUUCAGAAGUUGCAUUAUUUGUUCAGCACGACUCAGUUGCUUGAAACUACUUUUCUGGACAAAAUUCAAAAUGCAUUGUUUUUAUUAUGCCACAUUCAUAUUCUAAAAGGCAAAUUUACAUUAUAUAAAUAAACUAAUUUUGGAUUAUCAUUAGAGUAUGCGUUCAUCUAUUUGCAUUAGAUAAAUAUUUAUGGGUAUCAAGCCAAAAUUCCCAGAAAUAUUUAGAAUCUUGAACUUAGAUAAAAUCACUGUAAAUGUAUUUAAGAAGUUCUGUAAGGUACUAUAAAUCACUGACGUGUACUGUCCUUUGCAGAGUCACAGCUUGGACAAGGCCACAAGGACCUAAGGGUGCUCUAUGACCCACAGCAUCCAGCCUGUCCUCAGACUCUUCCUGCGAUGGGGGAUGGCUCGUGAUAACUCUUCCAGCUUCCAGAGGAAGCGUGGCUGGUUGACCUUGCUCAACAGUCUUAACCUUUCUGCAUCUCAGUUUUUUAACUUGUAAAUGUGUUCAAGACGUAUUCUUUGCCUUCCUACUAUGGGUCAGACAAUCUCAAGUAUUUUUUUAGGGGGAGGAAGGGGAACCAAGGCAGGGUAUAAAUAAACAGAUAGAUGAAAUGGAAAACUGAGAUGCACAGAAAUUUUAGGCAUUGGGGCUACAGAGUUGAACAAGACAAUAGUCUAAAGGGAGAGACUGGGACAUAAAUAGUUAUGAAGACAGUAGAGUGAGCAAUUUAGUGAGGCACAAGGCAUUCUGGGCACACUGGGAGCACUGCUGUUUGCUCUUUUAGCAGUUCCUUCCCACCCAACCUCGAGGUACUGAUUUCCCAUAAAAACUGGCCGAUGGCUAUGCUCUCUGGAUCAGGACUUCCCUCCAGGUGCCCCCUCACCACUUCCUCCAGAGCCCCCUAGGCUGUAAACUCCCAUGAAAGCAGCGAUCCCAUCUGUUUUAUUCAUCCUUUUAUCCAUGUAAACUUGCAUAUGGAACCCCCCAAUAAAUAUUUGCCAAAUAAAUAAACAAAUGGGCCGUAUUCAGAAGCUAGGGGAGCUCCUAAAUGAAGUUAUGUCAAGUGUGACAUGAUCUUCUCUUUCUUUAGUACUCCAUCUGGAAACAUAAUUCUGGUGUCAGUGGUCUAGGACACGGAUCAAAGGAGGCUGAGCUAGGGUGGCCGUGUAGGAGGGUGUUGCAAUAAUUAAGUAAGGAGGGGUAAGGGGUGAAGUAGGGUGAUGCUGAGGACACUGCAGGGUAGCCUUGACGGCUGGCUGGGUAUGGGGGGUUAGGGAGCGAGAGAAGUUGAGGAUUUCUUUCUGAGUUCUGCUUUUGUAUUUUUUUUUUUUUUUUGAGGAAGAUUAGCCCUGAGUUAACAUCUGCUGCCAAUCUUCCUCUUUUUGCUGAGGAAGACUGGCCCUGAGCUAAUAUCCAUGCCCAUCUUCCUCUAUUUUAUGUAGGACCCCUGCCACAGCAUGGCGUGCCAAGCAGUGUGCCAUGUCCGCACCUGGGAUCCGAGCCAGCGAACCCCUGGCUGCCAGAGCAGAACGUGAGACUUAACUGCUGCAUCACCGGGCCAGCCCCUACUUUUGUAUUUUUGAUCAAAAUAAGGCACUGAGUUUCUAGAGGAAGACUAUGAGUUCAGCUUUGGACAUGUUGCUCUGAAUUUGGCUGUGGAUGGCAAUGAGAUGUUUGCAGGAGGCUUCUGGGAAAGGCCGUCUCUCCCUGUGGAUCUGGAUGGGGAAGCCUCCAGCCCUGGCGCUCCUGACAGCUUUCCUACAGCCACAAAGAUCCAGCCACAGGAUGAGGCCAAGUCUGUGGACCACAGCGCCGAGAGAGAGCCUGCUUCCUUGACGACAUUGUUGAACCUGCUCAUCAGUUAUCUUGGAAGCUUGUACUGGCUGUGGACUGCCUCUUACUUGAACUCAGUCUCCCUGGGUCUGCCCUUCAACAAGUAGCCCUGUGACCCUGAACAUUCUGCAGUCACUUCGCCUUUCUGGGUUUCAGUGAGCUCAACUGUGAACCGGGUCAGAAGAAAAAGAUGAACUUUCCAGUUGAAGAAAAUAUUUUAAUACAUAAACUCUCGGAGGAAGGCACGUACCGCCUCUCAGAAUGGAAGACUCGGUGGGGCGGGUUGGAGACUCACCUUCUGCAGCUGCAGCCUCUGAGAGCCUGGCUCCCAGCGAGGUGUCGCAGCUCCGGGUUUCCCACACUGGAACGUGGUGAAGACGAAGAACAUUAAUUCGGAUUAUGGAACGUGGAAGCUCCCUGCGCUGUGACAGCUCAUGAGAAAGAGAACACCGCUUCCUUUUUUGGAAGGAAUUGGGAGUGUCACCUUACUAGCCUGCCUGAGGAUCCCUACUGCUUCUUAAAUUUCACAAAUAAGCGAGUUAAAGAAAAAAGCAUACACACCAAAAACAAACCAAUACUUAACUCCCUCUUCCAACCACCCCACUGUCCCGAGGGAGAUAUGCGCAAAGUCAGAAAUAAAGUGGC
rnacentral:lncRNA from 1 species